AUGAACGUUUCCCAGCAGUUCAAGAAAAACAAUGAUGGUGAUGGUUCUAGAAUUGAAAGUCCCAAGUCACCAAAGAAAAGCCUCAAACAAAGAACACCAUCAGAUGCAAACCUGAACAGAGGAGAAUGUGGAGAAUUGUUGAGUCAAGAUGUCUCAGAUGCAAGCAACCUGGAGGAAGAAGAAUCAGAGGAGGAGGAGGAGGAGGAAGAUGAUGAAAAUGAAGGAGAUGAUGAUGAAGAUUAUGAGGAGGCAGAGGAAGAAGAGGAGGAGGACGAGGAUCUUACACAAGAUGAAAAGGAGGAGGAGGAGGAUCUGGAAGAUGAAGAAACUCAGUCUAAUGACAUAUUGGAGGAGGAGCAGGGGGAGAAAACAGAAUCUAAAGGGGAAAUCAAUCAGAAAUUGGAGUAUUUUAGUAACACUAAGUAUGAAGGAGAAGCUUGGUGUGGAACUGGAGAUGUCUGUGAUGAUGAUGAUAAAAUAAAUAAAGAACUUGAUGAAAAAGUGGAGGAAUCUGUUGAUACUCCUGUGUCUUUUAUAGCUGGGUGUUAUGAAAGGCCGCAAGAAGAUGCAAUUGCCGUGUCUCCAAAGAUAAUGAAUAAUGAAGUAUCUUGCAAGUCAGUACCAAAACAAGCUGUCUUUCAAAAUCUAAACAAUUUGCAAGAUACGCAAGAAAGCUGGAACAGGAAAAGCAUGAUACAGGAGAAGUUUCACAGAAAUGCUGACUCCUGUUUUGCAGACUCUGAAAAAACAGACUGGAAAAAAGAGCUCCCUCAGCCUCUCUCAGAUAGUUGUGGUCUUAAGGAGAAAAAGUCAAGCUUCAGUGAUGGCUUUGAAAGUGGUGAUAAUUCUUGGUCAGCAGCAAAAAACCCGAGGCUUGAAAGUCAAAGACUGAACCCUGCCAUUCUUGAACACGUGGAUGAUGAAGAUACUGAAGAAGAGCAAUCUGAAGAGGUAGAUGAUAAAGUCUGUGAAGCACUGAAACAAGAAAGUGAAAACUUGUACUUAAAUAGGCAUGAAGAAAAUUUAAGAGCAGCAUUUCACUCGAGCACCAAAGCAGAAUCACCUGAAUGGGAAGAAGAGGAAGAGGAGGAGCAGGAGAAGGAAGAUACUGGUGAAGAGCUCCAAACUGCAGUUGUUGAGGGUGUGAAAAAUUCUAUUUGUAAUGAUGGCCAUCAAGUCCACAGUGCUUCAAAAGACAACACUGGUGCCCUGCCAGCAGUGGGAGCAGAGGAAGAGGAAGAUGCUGAAUCUCCCUGGGACUCUGAGAUUAUAAAGACGGAUUCUGGAAGUCCGAGAAAAGUAUCGUCUGGCGUGUUGCUCCCAGCUGCAGACAGACACGGAGCAUGCUUACAGAUUGUUUCAGGGGAACGUGACAAUGGCUUUUCGGAGAAACCCAACAAUUCCCCACUGAAGACUUCUGAAUCUGUUUUGGAAAUGAAGGAAACCUCUCCUAAAAAAAGGCAGCAGAAAUCAGAUUUAUUGGAGGAAUUUGGUUUAGGAGGUGCAGAGGAUAUUGAAGAUGAGUACUCAGGAUCUACCUUUCAUAUGCCAUCAUCAGCUGAAAAAGAAGACAUCAAGGAUGCCAUUGAAAAUUAUGGGGCACAGGUAUGUGAAACGAAGUAUUCUAAAUUAGAGUCUGAAUUGGUAAAUUGUAGUGUACACUAA
ensembl:lncRNA